AACGAUGCGUAGCCGACAUGAGAGGGUGAUCGGCCACACUGAGACUGAGACACGGCCCAGACUCCUACGAGAGGCAGCAGUAGGGAAUCUUCCGCAAUGGACGAAAGUCUGACGGAGCAACGCCGCGUGAGUGAUGAAGGUUUUCGGAUCGUAAAACUCUGUUGUUAGGGAAGAACAAGUGCCAUUCAAAUAGGUUGGCACCUUGACGGUACCUAACCAGAAAGCCCCGGCUAACUACGUGCCAGCAGCCGCGGUAAUACGUAGGGGGCAAGCGUUGUCCGGAAUUAUUGGGCGUAAAGCGCGCGCAGGCGGUCCUUUAAGUCUGAUGUGAAAGCCCACGGCUUAACCGUGGAGGGCCAUUGGAAACUGGAGGACUUGAGUACAGAAGAGGAGAGUGGAAUUCCACGUGUAGCGGUGAAAUGCGUAGAGAUGUGGAGGAACACCAGUGGCGAAGGCGACUCUCUGGUCUGUAACUGACGCUGAGGUGCGAAAGCGUGGGUAGCGAACAGGAUUAGAUACCCUGGUAGUCCACGCCGUAAACGAUGAGUGCUAGGUGUUAGGGGGUUCCGCCCCUUAGUGCUGAAGUAACGCAUAAGC
rnacentral:rRNA from 1 species